rnacentral:rRNA from 1 species
CCUACGGGGGGCAGCAGUGGGGAAUAUUGCACAAUGGGGGAAACCCUGAUGCAGCGACGCCGCGUGAGUGAGGAAGUAUUUCGGUAUGUAAAGCUCUAUCAGCAGGGAAGAAAAUGACGGUACCUGACUAAGAAGCCACGGCUAACUACGUGCCAGCAGCCGCGGUAAUACGUAGGGGGCAAGCGUUAUCCGGAUUUACUGGGGGGAAAUGGAGCGUAGACGGUUAAGCAAGUCAGAAGUGAAAACCCAGGGCUCAACCUUGGGACUGCUUUUGAAACUGAGUAGCUAGAGUGCAGGAGAGGUAAGCGGAAUUCCUAGUGUAGCGGUGAAAUGCGUAGAUAUCAGGAGGAACACCGGUGGCGAAGGCGGCCUGCUGGACUGCGACUGACGUUGAGGCCCGAAAGCGUGGGGAGCAAACAGGAUUAGAUACCCGGGUAGUC